rnacentral:rRNA from 1 species
CCUACGGGGGGCAGCAGUGGGGGAUAUUGCACAAUGGGGGGACCCCUGAUGCAGCGACGCCGCGUGGGUGAAGAAGCGCCUCGGCGCGUACAGCCCUGUCAGCAGGGAAGAAAAUGACGGUACCUGAAGCAGAAGCCCCGGCUAAAUACGUGACAGCAGCCGCGGUAAUACGGAGGGGGGACGCGGUAUCCGGAUUUACUGGGUGUAAAGGGGGCGCAGACGGCGAUGCAGGCCUGGAGGGAAAGCCCGGGGGCCAACCCCGGGACUGAUCUUGGAACUGCGUGGCUGGAGUGGAGGAGAAGCAGGCGGAAUGCGUGGUGUAGCGGUGAAAUGCGUAGAUAUCAGGAGGAACACCGGUGGCGAAGGCGGCCUGCUGGACUGCAACUGACGUUGAGGCCCGAAAGCGUGGGGAGCAAACAGGAUUAGAUACCCCUGUAGUC